CAUCAGGGCAACGCCGCUCACUCCGCAGCGGGCCCGGAAGGUGACGUCACGGCCUGCGACAGCGGRGCUGGUGUGGCUGGGACUGCCUGGCAUCGGGCUGCCGGGGCGAGUCGGCCGGGUAGCUCCAGACUAACAGGCCCAACAGAAACAGAGAGUAGUACUGAUUCAGAUGAAUCCUCCAGAGAGGAGCGCCAAGAAACAACUACCAGACUGUGGAAGAAGCCUAUUCCAGCAGACCAGACCUGAAGGAUGUGCCACUACAAGACCCUGACUGGGAGCUGUAUGCAGACAAAAACAGAUUCAGGCAAGAUGGCAACCUGGUAAACAAACUGCCAACCAGAAGCUCCAGAAUUACAUCGUGUUAUCAAGACCCAUAGGACUGGACAUGCCUGCACAUCCCUUCCAACCUGGAGACUGGGUCUAUGUUAAGUGGUGGGACAGUGAUCCCUUACAGGCCAAAUGGAGAGGACCAUUCCAAGUCCUGCUGACAACCCUUACUGCAGUCAAAGUUGCUGGCAAAGGACCCUGGAUUCACUAUUUCCGAGUUAAGAAGGCUUCUGCUCCUGAAACAACUGGAAAAACAGAGACUGAUGCAAACGGAGAUGAUGUAGUUUAAAACAAGGGUUUCUGUACUUGCGAUCUACGCAGUUGCUAACUKUGGUACAGGAAUGGAACUAAAGUCUGUAUAUGAUCCUAGUCAAAAAUAGGUAUCUAAAUUUCAAAUUUUCAUAUUAGACAACAUUCAAAAUACAUUACUUUGAGUUUUGAGUAGAUCUUCCACACCCUCGUGUCAUGGUUACCAAACUGACCUAGACCAAAGAACAGUUCAUAAUAACUGUAAUCCUAAUUCGGUUUACUACUGUUAAAUAUUAAUUGUUGCUAGAUACAUACUAUCAGUAGAUAUCUAGAAUAGAGACCUGACAAGGUAAAGGCCUUUUCAGGCCUCUGAAGGGGGGAAAUGAUGCCUUAGGAUUUUUAGUUUCUAUAUUUUCAUGCAUCUGUAUUCUUGUACUUCUCUAGUACAGCUCUAAAAACUACCAUUCUCCCAUCUAUAGACAAAACAAUUCCUCUCUGAGCCUGAAUCCAAGGACAUCUCACUGUCUCAGAGCCCCAAAAUAUGUAAACAAAGUGAGUUGGAGGGUAGCAAGUUUGGGGUGGUUGACAUCGUCACCUGAAAAGAUUGGAGAUUUAAGACCCAACAUGUUAAUAAGGCAGAACUUACAAAARGUGAAGGWC